ACAAGCUUUUAGGAAAAGAAAACCUAGCUGACACAUAUUAUAAAUAGAAAAAAAAAAAAGAAUUAUGAUUAGUCACUUCCAUAAGAAGAGAGCGCGAGAACAAAGAAGGGCUAGUGUUUGAGAGAAGAGAUCACGAGAAAAAAACAACUAGAGUUAUUAUUGUUUUCUACGUAUUCGAGAUUUUCAGGUAGGCGAACAGUUCGAGUUGCUUGAGUGUCGGAGUCGGUUAUAGGACUGUAUUCACUUUUAUUUUGGAGUCACUUUCAUUAAGAAUUUUCAGACUAUGUUAAUUUUACUCGAGACUGUUAUUCAGGGAAUUUGAAUA